rnacentral:misc_RNA from 1 species
ACCUGUAUAAAAGUGGAUGCAGGAUCUUUCAAGCAGCAAUCUCGAAGUCCAGGUGCUUGCCCACACGGCGCCACUUUUUCUCCAAGUUACUUCCUUGAUCGUCAUGCCUUGCCGGCGUUUUUGCCAGGCAGGAAAUACUUUUUUGAGGAAUCCAACAUGGAAACCGGUACCGUCAAGUGGUUCAACGAUUCGAAGGGUUUUGGCUUCAUUACCCCUGAUGCAGGCGGCAACGAUCUGUUCGCGCACUUCUCCGAAAUCCAGGGCAGCGGUUUCAAGUCGCUGCAAGAAGGCCAGAAGGUUCGCUACGUCGCUGGCGUUGGCCAAAAGGGUCCGGCCGCGACCAAGAUCGAGCCGAUCUGAGUCUGACCGACUGGCAUUGCACUGAGCGCCUCGGCGCCGGUUCAGUCAAAAAGCUCCGCCAGCGCGGAGCUUUUUUGU